rnacentral:rRNA from 1 species
UACGGAGGGGGCGAGCGUUAUUCGGAAUUAUUGGGCGUAAAGGGCGCGUAGGCGGCCAGCGCAAGUCAGUUGUGAAAUCUCCGGGCUUAACUCGGAACGGUCAACUGAUACUGCGCGGCUAGAGUGCGGAAGGGGCAACUGGAAUUCUCGGUGUAGCGGUGAAAUGCGUAGAUAUCGAGAGGAACACCUGCGGCGAAGGCGGGUUGCUGGGCUGACACUGACGCUGAUGCGCGAAAGCUAGGGGAGCGAACGGG